rnacentral:tRNA from 1 species
UAGCUCAGCCAGUUGGAGCAUGGUGCUGAUAACACCAAGGGCGCGGGUUCGAUCCCCGU